rnacentral:rRNA from 1 species
GACGAACGCUGGCGGCGUGCUUAACACAUGCAAGUCGAACGGAAAGGCCCUGCUUUUGUGGGGUGCUCGAGUGGCGAACGGGUGAGUAACACGUGAGUAACCUGCCCUUGACUUUGGGAUAACUUCAGGAAACUGGGGCUAAUACCGGAUAGGAGCUCCUGCUGCAUGGUGGGGGUUGGAAAGUUUCGGCGGUUGGGGAUGGACUCGCGGCUUAUCAGCUUGUUGGUGGGGUAGUGGCUUACCAAGGCUUUGACGGGUAGCCGGCCUGAGAGGGUGACCGGCCACAUUGGGACUGAGAUACGGCCCAGACACCUACGGGAGGCAGCAGUGGGGAAUAUUUGCACAAUGGGCGGAAGCCUGAUGCAGCAACGCCGCGUGCGGGAUGACGGCCUUCGGGUUGUAAACCGCUUUCGCCUGUGACGAAGCGUGAGUGACGGUAAUGGGUAAAGAAGCACCGGCUAACUACGUG